rnacentral:rRNA from 1 species
GACGAACGCUGGCGGCGUGCUUAACACAUGCAAGUCGAACGGAAAGGCGCUGCUUUUGUGGGGUGCUCGAGUGGCGAACGGGUGAGUAACACGUGAGUAACCUGCCCUUGACUUUGGGAUAACUUCAGGAAACUGGGGCUAAUAUCGGAUAGGAUCUCCUGCUGCAUGGUGGGGGUUGGAAAGUUUCGGCGGUUGGGGAUGGACUCGCGGCUUAUCAGCUUGUUGGUGGGGUAGUGGCUUACCAAGGCUUUGACGGGUAGCCGGCCUGAGAGGGUGACCGGCCACAUUGGGACUGAGAUACGGCCCAGACUCCUACGGGAGGCAGCAGUGGGGAAUAUUGCACAAUGGGCGGAAGCCUGAUGCAGCAACGCCGCGUGCGGGAUGACGGCCUUCGGGUUGUAAACCGCUUUCGCCUGUGACGAAGCGUGAGUGACGGUAAUGGGUAAAGAAGCACCGGCUAACUACGUG